GCAAGUCGAACGAAGCCUUCGGGCUUAGUGGCCCACGGGUGCGUAAGGCGUGGGCACCUGCCUUUAGGGUCGGAAUAACAGUUGGAAACGACUGCUAAUACCGGAUAAAGUCUUCGGACCAAAGAUUUAUCGCCUUUAGAUGGGCCCGCGUUAGAUUAGCUAGUUGGUGGGGUAAAGGCCUACCAAGGCGACGAUCUAUAGCUGGUCUGAGAGGAUGAUC
rnacentral:rRNA from 1 species